rnacentral:rRNA from 1 species
ACAGGUGCUGCAUGGCUGUCGUCAGCUCGUGUCGUGAGAUGUUGGGUUAAGUCCCGCAACGAGCGCAACCCUCGUCCUUAGUUGCCAUCAUUUAGUUGGGCACUCUAAGGAAACCGCCGGUGAUAAGCCGGAGGAAGGUGGGGAUGACGUCAAGUCCUCAUGGCCCUUACGCGCUGGGCUACACACGUGCUACAAUGGCGGUGACAGUGGGCAGCAAUCUCGCAAGGGUGAGCUAAUCUCCAAAAGCCGUCUCAGUUCGGAUUGUUCUCUGCAACUCGAGAGCAUGAAGGCGGAAUCGCUAGUAAUCGCGGAUCAGCAUGCCGCGGUGAAUACGUUCCCAGGCCUUGUACACACCGCCCGUCACACCAUGGGAGUUGGAUUCA